CUCUCGCUGAAUUAUACACUCAGAAUCAAAACAACCCAAAAAUAAGAAUGCCAGCGCAUCAAAAUAAAGUUCGAUUGGCUUUCUUAAUUUUGGGCUGCUGUCAAUAAACCAAAAUCAAAGUUCGAAGCCCGAACUGAAUGCCGCAAAAAAAAUUUCCCUUUGUUUACAGUUAGUCUCGUUUGUUCCCAAACAAGUCGGUCACUUUGGAAAAAAUGGUCUGGAUUGAUGGAAGACGUGUCCAGCUGUUGCAUCUGCGCUUCAGGGGGAUUUGUAACUAGUGAACAAUCUAACCUAAAUAUGGAACGAAACUAGCUGACCGGAAGUCCGGAUGGAGGAAGAAUAGUUAAAACGUCCACUUACUGUAAUCGGGAGCAUCAGUAAACAUUUAGACAUGAAUCCUACCGUUCCAUCAACCAUAGUGAUGAAUAUACUUAAUUACAGUGACGAUUCAGUCUAUCAUUUCCUCCAUCCUGUUGCAUGAAAAAACAUCCGAACCGUAACCGAUAUUUUUGGGAUUCAGCAGUUCCGGUUACUACGAAGAUCCUCGACAUGAUUGGCCGGAUUCUAAUAUCGUGCCUUCCGAUGGCUAAAAGUUCGGUUUUAUUAAGUUGCUUUCUCUAAAAAAAAUAUCCCUGCUUGCAUGUCACAAGAUUGAAAGAAGUUUUUUUUUUAAUAAAAAUAAAUUUACUGAUACUGAAUAAAAAA